AACCCGGGGAACUGAAACAUCUAAGUACCCGGAGGAAGAGAAAACAAAAGUGAUUCCGUUAGUAGUGGCGAGCGAACGCGGAUUAGCCCAAACCGGAGCUGUUACGGCAGCUCCGGGGUUGUAGGACCACGACAUUCGAAACACAAUGAACUAGAACGCCUUGGAAAAGGCGGCCAUAGACGGUGAUAGCCCGGUAUAGGCAAGGCGUGCGUAGAUAGUGGUAUCCUGAGUAGUGCGGGACACGAGUAAUCCUGUAUGAAUCAAGCGGGACCAUCCGCUAAGGCUAAAUACUCCUGAGAGACCGAUAGUGAACAAGUACCGUGAGGGAAAGGUGAAAAGCACCCCGAUUAGGGGAGUGAAACAGUACCUGAAACCGG
rnacentral:rRNA from 1 species